rnacentral:rRNA from 1 species
CGCGGCCUAUCAGCUUGUUGGUGAGGUAACGGCUCACCAAGGCUAUGACGGGUAGCUGGCGUGAGAGCGUGGUCAGCCACACUGGGACUGAGACACGGCCCAGACUCCUACGGGAGGCAGCAGUGGGGAGUAUUGCGCAAUGGGCGAAAGCCUGACGCAGCGACGCCGCGUGGGGGAGGAAGGCCCUAGGGUUGUAAACCCCUGUCAGGCGGGACGAACCGUGGAUCGGCGAACAGCCGGUUCACCUGACGGUACCGCCAGAGGAAGCUCCGGCUAACUCCGUGCCAGCAGCCGCGGUAAUACGGAGGGAGCGAGCGUUGUCCGGAAUUACUGGGCGUAAAGGGCGCGUAGGCGGCCGCGUAAGUCGCGUGUGAAAGGCCGGGGCUCAACCCCGUGCAUGGCACGCGAUACUGCGCGGCUGGAGAAAGGUAGGGGCGAGCGGAAUUCCCGGUGUAGCGGUGGAAUGCGUAGAUAUCGGGAGGAACACCGGUGGCGAAGGCGGCUCGCUGGGCCUUUUCUGACGCUGAAGCGCGAAAGCGUGGGGAGCAAGCAGGAUUAGAUACCCUGGUAGUCCACGCCGUAAACGAUGGGCACUAGGUGUUGGGAGGCUUGGCCCUCUCAGUGUCGAAGCUAACGCAUUAAGUGCCCCGCCUGGGGAGUACGG